ensembl:snoRNA
UUUCCCAUUUGUUUGCUGCUCUGGUCUCUCAGUGAUGGGAGCAGUUAUACGCGUGGGAUAAAAUAACAUUGGGCCAUUGUAAAUCGAGAUGAAGUGUGUGUUUUGUCUCUUCUGCAUGGUCUAGACAUUG